UUACCUCUUGCUGGAUUACUCCUCCUCCCAAAUCCAGCAAGUUGAAUGCAGCACCUCCUCCUCCCAUAGCUGCAUUCGGAAUCAAAGGCUGCGCAUCUCCUCCCGCGCGGCCUUUUUC
rnacentral:sRNA from 1 species